rnacentral:rRNA from 1 species
UACAGAGGUGGCAAGCGUUGUUCGGAAUUACUGGGCGUAAAGGGCGCGUAGGCGGUCAGGUCAGUCCCGUGUGAAAUCCCUCGGCUCAACUGAGGAACUGCACGGGAAACUGCCUGGCUUGAGUUCGGGAGAGGGAAGCGGAAUUCCGGGUGUAGCGGUGAAAUGCGUAGAUAUCUGGAGGAACACCGGUGGCGAAGGCGGCAUCCUGGACCGGCAUUGACGCUGAGGCGCGAAAGCCAGGGGAGCAAACGGG